GCUUGUGUGGCGGAAUGGCAGACGCAAGGGACUUAAAAUCCCUCGGGGAGGACCCGUACCGGUUCGAGUCCGGUCACAAGCACCA
rnacentral:tRNA from 1 species